rnacentral:rRNA from 1 species
AGAGUUUGAUCAUGGCUCAGGAUGAACGCUAGCGGCAGGCCUAACACAUGCAAGUCGAGGGGUAGGGAGAGCUUGCUCUCCCGAGACCGGCGCACGGGUGCGUAACGCGUAUACAACCUACCUUUUGCUACGGGAUAGCCCAGAGAAAUUUGGAUUAACACCGUAUAGUAUAUAGAGAUCUCAUGGUUUUUAUAUUAAAGGCUACGGCAAAAGAUGGGUAUGCGUCCUAUUAGCUAGAUGGUGUGGUAACGGCACACCAUGGCAACGAUAGGUAGGGGCCCUGAGAGGGGGAUCCCCCACACUGGUACUGAGACACGGACCAGACUCCUACGGGAGGCAGCAGUGAGGAAUAUUGGACAAUGGGCGCAAGCCUGAUCCAGCCAUGCCGCGUGCAGGAAGACUGCCCUAUGGGUUGUAAACUGCUUUUGUACGGGAAGAAACACCCCCUCGUGAGGGGGCUUGACGGUACCGUAAGAAUAAGGAUCGGCUAACUCCGUGCCAGCAGCCGCGGUAAUACGGAGGAUCCAAGCGUUAUCCGGAAUCAUUGGGUUUAAAGGGUCCGUAGGUGGACGGUUAAGUCAGGGGUGAAAGUCUGCAGCUCAACUGUAGAAUUGCCCUUGAUACUGGUCGUCUUGAAUCAUUGUGAAGUGGUUAGAAUAUGUAGUGUAGCGGUGAAAUGCAUAGAUAUUACAUAGAAUACCGAUUGCGAAGGCAGAUCACUAACAAUGUAUUGACACUGAUGGACGAAAGCGUGGGUAGCGAACAGGAUUAGAUACCCUAGUAGUCC